GAGUAAACACUAAAUAAAUAAUAAAUAAUAAAAAAGAUAAUAAUAACAAGAAAAAUGUUUAGUAUCUUAAUAAAGAAGCAAAUAAAAAUGACAAUGAUAAUAACAAGGAAGAUGCUUAGUACCUUAAAGAUACCUGACAGUUAUUUGUUAAGUGGACAAGUGGAUAAAUGAAUAACAAACUUUUUAAGGAAAUUCUGUUGGAAAAAUGCAGAAAUUCAAUAGGCACAGCUCUUCUGUAUUAUGAGCACCUUAAAGACCCAAACUGUGUAUUCCAUCUUUGUCUCCUGCAACUUGCCAAACCUAACUUAUAGAGGUCCUUUGUUAAAUAUAUAAUAAAGAUGUGCUCAUACAGUUCAUAUUGUACAAUGUGUCACAUUUAGGUAUCAGUAGCAUUUUCAUUGUUGUGAAAAGUUUUUGUAAUAUUUUUAUAAUUUUUUUGAGUUUAGAGUUAAGCUAUCUGAAUAUUUAUAAUGAUAAUAUUUUGGCUAUUAGAAACAGAGUAUCUUGCUGUAACAAAAUUACUAUUAACACACUAAUUAUCCAGUAGAUAGAACAACAUACCUUGCUCUAAUGGAGUAAACAUAUCUUAUUUGGUUUCAACUUAGACGGAAUGAAGUUGAUAAUAGUGAGACCUUGUUGGUACAAGACUAUGUAACAUAACCUGCGCUUCUCAACAAAGAAUUGCUUUUCUGACUUCUGCACUCAAUAGCAAGACAAAUCUCUCCUCUGCCUUCUCCUUAUCAGACUACUCAACAUGAAGGCAAUAAGAAUGAAGACCUCUAUGUAUAAUAA
rnacentral:lncRNA from 1 species